CAGCCGCUCCCUCUGGGCCUCGGUCCUCCACCCGCGUCCGCCGGAGCCUGUUCGCGUCGACUGACCAGAGUCCGCGAAUUCUCCGCUCCGAGCCGGUCCGCACUGCCCCGAUCCCAGCUUUCUAUCCUUUGAAAACACUAAGAAUAAUGUCCCUGCAUCAGUUUUUACUAGAGCCAAUCACCUGUCAUGCCUGGAACAGGGAUCGUACCCAGAUUGCUCUUAGCCCCAAUAAUCACGAAGUCCACAUCUAUAAGAAGAACGGGAGCCAGUGGGUGAAAGCUCAUGAACUCAAGGAGCACAACGGACACAUUACAGGUAUCGACUGGGCUCCCAAGAGUGACCGCAUCGUCACUUGUGGGGCAGACCGCAAUGCCUAUGUCUGGAGUCAGAAAGAUGGUGUCUGGAAGCCAACCCUGGUGAUCCUGAGAAUUAAUCGUGCAGCGACUUUUGUCAAGUGGUCUCCGCUAGAGAACAAAUUUGCUGUGGGAAGUGGAGCACGACUCAUUUCUGUUUGUUACUUUGAGUCUGAAAAUGACUGGUGGGUAAGCAAGCACAUUAAAAAGCCAAUUCGAUCCACGGUCCUCAGCUUGGAUUGGCAUCCCAACAAUGUUUUGCUGGCAGCAGGAUCAUGUGAUUUCAAAUGCAGGGUGUUUUCUGCCUACAUUAAAGAAGUGGAUGAAAAGCCAGCCAGUACGCCCUGGGGCAGCAAGAUGCCUUUUGGUCAGCUGAUGUCAGAGUUUGGUGGCAGCGGCACUGGUGGCUGGGUACAUGGGGUCAGCUUCUCUGCCAGUGGGAGCCGCCUGGCCUGGGUCAGCCACGACAGCACCGUAUCCGUUGCUGAUGCCUCAAAAAGUGUGCAGGUCUCAACUCUGAAAACAGAGUUCCUGCCCCUCCUGAGUGUGUCGUUUGUCUCAGAGAAUAGCGUUGUAGCCGCGGGCCAUGACUGCUGCCCAAUGCUCUUCAACUACGAUGACCGUGGCUGCUUGACCUUCGUCUCCAAACUAGACAUUCCCAAACAGAGCAUCCAGCGCAACAUGUCUGCCAUGGAGCGCUUCCGCAACAUGGACAAGAGGGCCACGACCGAGGACCGCAACACAGCCUUGGAGACGCUGCACCAGAAUAGCAUCACACAUUCCUUCAGGAGCAGGAGCAGAGAGAAGUCUGUAGCUUCCCGACUACGGGCUCUUAUUUUCAGCUUGGGACAGAGUGAGCCGCCCCCACCUAGGCAUUCUGUCCUUCGAGGUGCGGCUGGUACGCGGCAUCCCCCGUGAGGAGCGCUGAUCCUACGGCAGACGUCAGGUGUCUAUUUAUGAGGUGGACAAGCAAGAUUGUCGCAAAUUUUGCACUACUGGCAUCGAUGGAGCCAUGACAAUUUGGGAUUUCAAGACCUUAGAGUCUUCCAUCCAGGGCCUCCGGAUAAUGUGAAGCUGAGUGAGCCUCCCAGAUCCAGCAUGACAAAUGGACAGACUGACAGACUGACAGAUGCGCUGACGCAGCCCCACCGUGUGCAUGGUGGUGAGGAGAGCCAGCCGCAAGGAGACACUGAAGACAAGUUUUGCGCAAAUAUCGUUUGUGUGUUUUUGUUUGAAUAUAACUGGUGACAGUGUUGGUUUUUUAAAAGCAGCCGUGAUUUGGGUUUUUCUGUUUUUUGUUUCUGCUAUUUCAUUCCAUUCUUGACCAAAGCUUCUCUUUAGGUAGUUUAUUAUGGAAAAUUGUCACACUAACUUAAAGGAAAGGGUGGGAGACAUGUCCAUUGUCUGCUAAACAAAUAAAAAUACUGAAUGUGUC